AAGCCACGAUAACGGCCACAAUCCUGCUCCACUUCCUGCGAUGGAUACCGCGCGAUUCUUCCAUCCGCUGGCAAGUCGCGACAACGGACGCCGCUCCACUUUUCUCGGCAGACUCCACGUGGCACACUCCGAUGAUAGCCACGGGUCCACUCCACUACUCUUUGCAACAAACUCCGCCUGACCCUGGGCAGCCCACUGCCAGACGGUUACAGAUAUCGCUAUCAAGCUACCGC
rnacentral:lncRNA from 1 species